UACCCUUUGCCAAUGAAAAAAAAAAAGGAGUGCAAAGGCGAAUUGAGUUAUUGCACACGCGCACUUUACAGAGUAGGCAUUCCACAACGGAACUAUGCAAAUGCAUGGUAACCUCUUGUUAGCUCGUGCUUGGCUCUGCCCACUAUGGCUCAUUUGUUUCCCUUUGAAACGACAGGCUGUGGUCUAUGUUGGUCUAGUUCUAAAAAUCUUUGUCUGCUUCUUCUUUAAAUUGAAAGGUGCAUACACCACCACCUACUGGAGUUGCCCUACCAACUAACUCUACACCCAUUAAAACAUCACCAAUAUUCCACUAAUGGCCCCAUCUGAUCCUAGACUAGGCCGGCAGGGUCCGUGUACCUUCUAGACAAUGGCUACCCUACAUUAACCAGGAUGACUAAUAGUGAUUCACCACUCGUUAUCUGUUUUCUUUUAUUUCAAGUUGAUCGAAAUUGACAGAAAGCUACCUUUUUUGUUUUCCGUUUUUCGCUUCAGAUAUCGGAAAACAAGCACUGUCAAGGUAGGCGGGAAAGGAGAGGGUGCGUUUUGAUUUUGUUCCUAGUGUAGUUAACAUAAGCUAACGUUACCGUUAGGGCAGCUAGCUAACCACACAGUCUCAAGUGAGUGUAAUUUGUGUUUGUGGCUAGACAAGCUAGCUAGCUAACGUUAUUGCCUAGCUACAAAUUCACUGUUCUAUGAAGUUUGUGUUCUUAGUUGUGUUUGAUUUGACCGUCUAUUAUUGACCAUGUGUGGUUAAUGUAUGGUCUAUAUAUGAUCAGAGGGAUAUGGGGUGGAGAGGACAUCCCAGCCACUUGACAGUGUUGGCAUUGUUACUUCCUACCUGACGGGUAAGUGGACAUCACUUCUACUUGUGAUGUCAUAUCCUGUUAAGGUACGUUGCCAGCGAGUGCAGGUGGACUCUCCCCUCAACAUGAAGCUCCUGCUGCUCUCGCCCCAAAUACACACAUACACAGGUACACACACACACUAUUAAGAGUGUUCCCCUAUUUACAUGUGUGUGUGUUGGGUAUCAGGUGAGGGAUGAUAAGCCAGUGUUUGAGAAGAGGUGUCUGGUGUGGGAGGACAUGCAGAUUCCCUCAAAGUUCCUGAAGGAGGAGUUGAAGGCGGAGUAUGCAUAGUACUGCAGCAACACUCAGGUCUAUCUGUCUUCAGAGGGAUCUAGGGUGCAGACAGCAGAUGGRGGUGGAGGUGUUUGGGGUGGAGAGGACAGUGGAUUCAGUUGGAGGACAUCCCAGCCACUUGGCAGUGUUGGCACUGCUACUUCCUACCUGACGGGCACCUGGCCACCCGAGUGCAGGUGGGCUCUCUGUCAACAUGAGGCUCUUACUGGUCCUACCCCAAGUACACACAGGAGUUGAAGGUGGAGCAUGCCUUGUACCAGCGGCAGCACCCAGAGCUCCAAGCCAUGAUGGGUCGACGACUUGCAGUUCCUGCUACUACGAAAACUGAGCGAGGUCAUCAUGUUCGCCCGCAAGGAGUUCUUUGCCUCCUGCCAAACCCCGGGUGGCACCCUCAACACCUCCUCACCCUGAGGACACACAUUGUGGCUGCGUCUGUGUCUCAAUAGUCUAGUAGCUUUCUUUGACUGGCACUUUAGAGGACAAUACUAUUCUGGUUAGCACUUGUCACCAGUAUGUACAGAGGCCCUCAAGAUCUAGAGUAUUGAUAAAAUACAAAUGCUUUUAUGGAUGUUUUUUAUUUUGUGAUAAUGUUUUUACUGUCUUGUUUGUAUGAGGUACACUGAAACAAAUUCCUAAUCAACUCUGUUGAUAUGGCAAUCGCAAGAGGCCCAGUUAUGUCAGUUAUUGUGAAUGAAAAUAAAAUGUAUCAUUUCA